rnacentral:rRNA from 1 species
CCUACGGGAGGCAGCAGUGAGGAAUAUUGGUCAAUGGCCGUAAGGCUGAACCAGCCAAGUAGCGUGAGGGAAGACUGCCCUAUGGGUUGUAAACCUCUUUUAUGCGGGGAUAAAGGUUUCCACGAGUGGAUUUUUGCAGGUACCGCAUGAAUAAGGACCGGCUAAUUCCUUGCCAGCCGCCGCGGUAAUACGGAAGGUCCGGUCGUUAUCCGGAUUUAUUGGGUUUAAAGGGAGCGUAGGCCGGUCUUUAAGCGUGCCGGGAAAUUUUGUGGCUCAACCAUGGGAGUGCGGCGCGAACUGGAGACCUUGAGUGAGCGGAAGGCAGGCAGAAUUCGUGGUGUAGCGGUGAAAUGCGUAGAGAUCACGAAGAACCCCGAUGGCGAAGGCAGCCUGCUGCAGCGUUACUGACGCUGAAGUGCGAAAGCGCGGGUAUCGAACAGGAUUAGAUACCCCAGUAGUC